rnacentral:rRNA from 1 species
GACGAACGCUGGCGGCGUGCUUAACACAUGCAAGUCGAACGGAAAGGCCCUGCUUUUGUGGGUUGCUCGAGUGGCGAACGGGUGAGUAACACGUGAGUAACCUGCCCUUGACUUUGGGAUAACUUCAGGAAACUGGGGCUAAUACCGGAUAGGAGCUCCUGCUGCAUGGUGGGGGUUGGAAAGUUUCGGCGGUUGGGGAUGGACUCGCGGCUUAUCAGCUUGUUGGUGGGGUAGUGGCUUACCGAGGCUUUGACGGGUAGCCGGCCUGAGAGGGUGACCGGCCACAUUGGGACUGAGAUACGGCGCAGACUCCUACGGGAGGCAGCAGUGGGGAAUAUUGCACAAUGGGCGGAAGCCUGAUGCAGAAACGCCGCGUGCGGGAUGAAGGCCUUCGGGUUGUAAACCGCUUUCGCCUGUGACGAAGCGUGAGUGACGGUAAUGGGUAAAGAAGCACCGGCUAACUACGUG